rnacentral:sRNA from 1 species
UUAGGACCUCAUGGAUCCCAGGGGGACCAAGAGAGAAGCUGAGAAGACAGAGGUAGCUGAGCCUCGGAACAAACUACCUCGUCCAGCACCUUCUCUGCCCACAGACCCUGCCCUCUACUCUGGGCCCUUUCCUUUCUACCGGCGCCCUUCGGAACUGGGCUGCUUCUCCCUGGAUGCUCAACGCCAGUACCAUGGAGAUGCCCGAGCCCUGCGCUACUAUAGCCCACCCCCCACUAACGGUCCAGGCCCCAACUUUGACCUCAGAGACGGAUACCCGGAUCGAUACCAGCCCCGGGACGAGGAGGUCCAAGAAAGGCUGGACCACCUGCUGUGCUGGCUUCUGGAACACCGAGGCCGGUUGGAGGGGGGUCCAGGCUGGCUGGCAGAGGCCAUAGUGACGUGGCGGGGGCACCUCACAAAACUGCUGACGACACCGUAUGAGCGGCAGGAGGGCUGGCAGCUGGCAGCCUCCCGGUUCCAGGGAACACUAUACCUAAGUGAAGUGGAGACGCCAAACGCUCGGGCCCAGAGGCUUGCUCGGCCACCGCUCCUCCGGGAGCUUAUGUACAUGGGAUACAAAUUUGAGCAGUACAUGUGUGCAGACAAACCUGGAAGCUCCCCAGACCCCUCUGGGGAGGUUAACACCAACGUGGCCUUCUGCUCUGUGCUACGCAGCCGCCUGGGAAGCCACCCUCUGCUCUUCUCAGGGGAGGUAGACUGCACAGACCCCCAGGCCCCAUCCACACAGCCCCCAACCUGCUAUGUGGAGCUCAAGACCUCCAAGGAGAUGCACAGCCCUGGCCAAUGGAGGAGUUUCUACAGGUUCAGGAUCAGGGUGGGCAGGGCGAGAGCUUAGACUUGAAGGCUGGGAAAGGGACUUGGGGAGGAGGGUGAAGGCAGAAUGGAGGGUGGACGAGGGGUCCCACUGAUCCCUUGCUUUUCCUGACAGACACAAGCUCCUGAAAUGGUGGGCUCAGUCAUUCCUCCCAGGGGUCCCGAAUGUUGUUGCUGGCUUCCGUAACCCAGAGGGUUUUGUCUCUUCCCUCGAGACCUUUCCUACCAUGAAGAUGUUUGAAUAUGUCAGGAAUGACCGUGACGGCUGGAAUCCCUCUGUGUGCAUGAACUUCUGUGCCGCCUUCCUUAGCUUUGCCCAGAGCACGGUUGUCCAGGAUGACCCCAGGCUCGUUCACCUCUUCUCUUGGGAGCCUGGUGGCCCAGUCACCGUGUCUGUACACCGAGAUGCACCUUAUGCCUUCCUGCCCAUAUGGUAUGUGGAAGCUAUGACUCAGGACCUCCCAUCACCCCCCAAGACUCCCUCCCCUAAAUAGUAAUGCUUUAGAGGGAGGCAGUCAUAUCUCUAUGUGCAGAUAAUAAAAGCUUAUUUUUAAGAGGUUC